GAGAGCAUAGUAUGAUGAAAGUUGUGAGCUUUGUUCAGGGGGGAGUUAUUGUCUAUCGUUGGCCUCUAUGGUAGAAUCAGUCAGGGAGGCCUGAGAGAUGGUGGUUUACCCUGU
rfam:Picea glauca, whole genome shotgun sequence.